GACGGAGGGUGCAAGCGUUGUUCGGAAUCACUGGGCGUAAAGCGCGUGUAGGCUGUUCGAUAAGUCGAGUGUGAAAGCCCGAGGCUCAACCUCGGAAGUGCAUUCGAAACUGUCGGGCUUGAGUACGGGAGAGGGAAGUUGAAUUCCUGGUGUAGAGGUGAAAUUCGUAGAUAUCAGGAGGAACACCGGUGGCGAAGGCGGCUUCCUGGACCGAUACUGACGCUGAGACGCGAAAGCGUGGGGAGCAAACAGG
rnacentral:rRNA from 1 species